rnacentral:lncRNA from 12 species
CACUCCCCCUCCGCGGUCAGCUCCUCCCCUAAACAGCUCCCUGCCGCUCCCACACCACCGGAACCGGAAGGGACCCAGACCGGAAGGAAGCCAUCUCGGCUUCCACUGCCACGCACCUGCCGGCGCCUCCCGUCCGGGGAAAGAAACUUCGUCCUGCACCCCGGCGCCCUCCAUCCCCCUCGGAGGAUGGGAAUGAAGGUUCCUCGGACUCAGACUCCGUCCCUGGGGGAGUUGUGGAGGCUGGUGAGCUGACAGGACCCAUGAUGCCUCCCUGCUGUAAGCAAAUUGUUUGUAUCCCACUGGCUUUUCCUUCCUUGUUCCUCCCCUGCACCCUUUGUGAGUUAGUUUGGUGCUCAACCCCUCCCCUGGGCUCCCCUAUAUAAACCCCUCUCCCCCAGCCCUGUUCGGAGUUUGUUG